rnacentral:rRNA from 1 species
UGAGGAAUAUUGGUCAAUGGGCGAGAGCCUGAACCAGCCAAGUCGCGUGAAGGAUGAAUGCGUUAUGCGUUGUAAACUUCUUUUGUCAGGGAAUAAAAAAAGGGACGUGUCCCUUAUUGUAUGUACCUGAAGAAUAAGCAUCGGCUAACUCCGUGCCAGCAGCCGCGGUAAUACGGAGGAUGCGAGCGUUAUCCGGAUUUAUUGGGUUUAAAGGGUGCGUAGGCGGUCGAUUAAGUCAGUGGUGAAAGUUUGCGGCUCAACCGUAAAAUUGCCGUUGAUACUGGUCGACUUGAGUGCGGUAGAGGUAAGUGGAAUUCGUAGUGUAGCGGUGAAAUGCUUAGAUAUUACGAAGAACUCCAAUUGCGAAGGCAGCUUGCUGGACCGUAACUGACGCUGAGGC